UGGAGUUUGGAUGGCUUCCUCCAGUCUUGUGUUUCUCGACUCCUCGAGAACCUCGACGCUACAAACAAGAAUCAUCUAAAGCUUGGAUUGAGCUUUUCGUCUUCUAGUCUUUCCUCCAUUAAUCGGAUCCUCUUCUCACUUUCGACUUCAGCUGCGUGCUCCUCUAGCCAUUACGUUGUCCCAUUUUCUAUCUGUAAACAAGUCUACACGAGAUAUUGCCGUGAAAGAGAGCGCUGAAGCUUUUCCAAACUAUUUUGCCUUCUGGUAAGCCAAAGGUAUGUUAUUCGAUUCCCACGUCUUUAAGCUCCACCUCUGAGUUACCCGUAACUCCAGAACCUGCCGACAAUCCCGAAUCAGAGUCAUCUGACAUCCCCACUUGGCUUCAAGACGUCAAUACCUCGGGAAGCCAGGACCCUGACGAUGGUCAGUUCUUUAUCCCUUCUCUUUCCAGGUUGUUUGGCAAAUCCUCUUCCGGGAAUCACAAGAAGGUUGGUAGACGCUUGCUAUCCGGACCAAACGAUGACGAGAUCGAAAAACGGUACCCCUCGCUACCAAGAUCGAUCGAAAAAACGGACUGGUUAGAGAGAUGAGAUCGGCGAGGAGGAUGGAGUUGAUCUGACCAUGUUGUGACUGUCGAUGCGGACGAGAUAGACAGUCUGAGAUCGACCUCAAUAAUUUUCUGCUGUUCAAUUCAACUUUGAAUCUAUUCCGGCGGCAAGGGAGGUCAAAUUUGGGGUAGGGCGGGUAAGGGAGAAAGAAAGCGUUGGGAGUUUUCACUUUUUAAUUAAUUUUUAAUAGGAAAGAAAUAAUGAUGUCCCAUAUUUUUUUGUAUGAUACGGAUUUGUUUGCCACAUCAGAUGAUAUUGUAUGCAAUUUGGUCAAUAUGAAUGAGUGAAACAUUAAAAAAAUU
rnacentral:lncRNA from 1 species